GGUUAAGCGAACAAGCGUACACGGUGGAUGCCCUGGCAGUCAGAGGCGAUGAAGGACGUGCUAAUCUGCGAAAAGCGCCGGUAAGGUGAUAUGAACCGUUAUAACCGGCGAUGUCCGAAUGGGGAAACCCGGUGCACUUCGGUGCAUCAUCGUUAGCUGAAUACAUAGGCUAACGAGGCGAACCGGGGGAACUGAAACAUCUAAGUACCCCGAGGAAAAGAAAUCAACCGAGAUUCCCCCAGUAGCGGCGAGCGAACGGGGAACAGCCCAGAGCCUGAAUCAGCUUGUGUGUCAGUGGAACGGUCUGGAAAGGCCGGCGAUACAGGGUGACAGCCCCGUACACGAAGGCACACACAGGCUGUGAGCUCGAUGAGUAGGGCGGGACACGUGAUAUCCUGUCUGAAGAUGGGGGGACCAUCCUCCAAGGCUAAAUACUCCUGACUGACCGAUAGUGAACCAGUACCGUGAGGGAAAGGCGAAAAGAACCCCGGCGAGGGGAGUGAAACAGAACCUGAAACCGUGUACGUACAAGCAGUGGGAGCCUUCGUAAGAGGGUGACUGCGUACCUUUUGUAUAAUGGGUCAGCGACUUAUAUUCUGUAGCAAGGUUAACCGUAUAGGGGAGCCGAAGGGAAACCGAGUCUUAACCGGGCGUUAAGUUGCAGGGUAUAGACCCGAAACCCGGUGAUCUAGCCAUGGGCAGGUUGAAGGUUGGGUAACACUAACUGGAGGACCGAACCGACUAAUGUUGAAAAAUUAGCGGAUGACCUGUGGCUGGGGGUGAAAGGCCAAUCAAACCGGGAGAUAGCUGGUUCUCCCCGAAAGCUAUUUAGGUAGCGCCUCGUGAACUCAUCUCCGGGGGUAGAGCACUGUUUCGGCUAGGGGGCCAUCCCGGCUUACCAACCCGAUGCAAACUGCGAAUACCGGAGAAUGUUAUCACGGGAGACACACACGGCGGGUGCUAACGUCCGUCGUGAAGAGGGAAACAACCCAGACCGCCAGCUAAGGUCCCAAAGUCAUGGUUAAGUGGGAAACGAUGUGGGAAGGCCCAGACAGCCAGGAUGUUGGCUUAGAAGCAGCCAUCAUUUAAAGAAAGCGUAAUAGCUCACUGGUCGAGUCGGCCUGCGCGGAAGAUGUAACGGGGCUAAACCAUGCACCGAAGCUGCGGCAGCGACACUCUGUGUUGUUGGGUAGGGGAGCGUUCUGUAAGCCUGUGAAGGUGUGCUGUGAGGCAUGCUGGAGGUAUCAGAAGUGCGAAUGCUGACAUAAGUAACGAUAAAGCGGGUGAAAAGCCCGCUCGCCGGAAGACCAAGGGUUCCUGUCCAACGUUAAUCGGGGCAGGGUGAGUCGACCCCUAAGGCGAGGCCGAAAGGCGUAGUCGAUGGGAAACAGGUUAAUAUUCCUGUACUUGGUGUUACUGCGAAGGGGGGACGGAGAAGGCUAUGUCGGCCGGGCGACGGUUGUCCCGGUUUAAGCGUGUAGGCUGACUUUCCAGGCAAAUCCGGAAAGUUAAGGCUGAGGCGUGAUGACGAGGCACCACGGUGCUGAAGUGACAAAUGCCCUGCUUCCAGGAAAAGCCUCUAAGCAUCAGGUAACAUCAAAUCGUACCCCAAACCGACACAGGUGGUCAGGUAGAGAAUACCAAGGCGCUUGAGAGAACUCGGGUGAAGGAACUAGGCAAAAUGGUGCCGUAACUUCGGGAGAAGGCACGCUGACAUGUAGGUGAAGCCCCUGCGGGUGGAGCUGAAGUCAGUCGAAGAUACCAGCUGGCUGCAACUGUUUAUUAAAAACACAGCACUGUGUGCAAACACGAAAGUGGACGUAUACGGUGUGACGCCUGCCCGGUGCCGGAAGGUUAAUUGAUGGGGUUAUCGCAAGAGAAGCUCCUGAUCGAAGCCCCGGUAAACGGCGGCCGUAACUAUAACGGUCCUAAGGUAGCGAAAUUCCUUGUCGGGUAAGUUCCGACCUGCACGAAUGGCGUAAUGAUGGCCAGGCUGUCUCCACCCGAGACUCAGUGAAAUUGAACUCGCUGUGAAGAUGCAGUGUACCCGCGGCAAGACGGAAAGACCCCGUGAACCUUUACUACAGCUUGACACUGAACAUUGAGCCUUGAUGUGUAGGAUAGGUGGGAGGCUUUGAAGCGUGGACGCCAGUCUGCGUGGAGCCGACCUUGAAAUACCACCCUUUAAUGUUUGAUGUUCUAACCUGGCGCCGUAAUCCGGCGUGGGGACAGUGUCUGGUGGGUAGUUUGACUGGGGCGGUCUCCUCCCAAAGUGUAACGGAGGAGCACGAAGGUCAGCUAAUCCUGGUCGGACAUCAGGAGGUUAGUGCAAUGGCAUAAGCUGGCUUGACUGCGAGAGUGACGGCUCGAGCAGGUGCGAAAGCAGGUCAUAGUGAUCCGGUGGUUCUGUAUGGAAGGGCCAUCGCUCAACGGAUAAAAGGUACUCCGGGGAUAACAGGCUGAUACCGCCCAAGAGUUCAUAUCGACGGCGGUGUUUGGCACCUCGAUGUCGGCUCAUCACAUCCUGGGGCUGAAGUAGGUCCCAAGGGUAUGGCUGUUCGCCAUUUAAAGUGGUACGCGAGCUGGGUUUAGAACGUCGUGAGACAGUUCGGUCCCUAUCUGCCGUGGGCGCUGGAGAAUUGAGGGGGGCUGCUCCCAGUACGAGAGGACCGGAGUGGACGCAUCACUGGUGUUCGGGUUGUCAUGCCAAUGGCACUGCCCGGUAGCUAAAUGCGGAAGAGAUAAGUGCUGAAAGCAUCUAAGCACGAAACUUGCCCCGAGAUGAGUUCUCCCUGAGACUAUAAGUCUCCUGAAGGAACGUUGAAGACGACGACGUUGAUAGGCCGGGUGUGUAAGCGCAGCGAUGCGUUGAGCUAACCGGUACUAAUGAACCGUGAGGCUUAACCUU
rnacentral:rRNA from 1 species